UUGGUGCGACAUGUAAAUGAGCACUUAUGAUUGGUGUGAAGUGAAAAUGAACGCUUAUAUUUGGUGUGUGGUGAAAAUUAAUGCUUAUGAUUGAUGUGAAGUGAAAAUGAAAGCUUAUGAUUGGUGUAAAGUGUAAAUGAACACUUAUGAUUGGUGUGAAGUGAUAAUGAACUCUUCUGAUUGAUGUGAAGUGUAGAUGAACGCUUAUGAUUAGUGUGAAGUGUAAAUGAAUGCUAAUGAUUAGU
rnacentral:lncRNA from 1 species